GUGGGGAAUAUUGGACAAUGGGCGCAAGCCUGAUCCAGCCAUGCCGCGUGAGUGAUGAAGGCCCUAGGGUUGUAAAGCUCUUUCACCGAUGAAGAUAAUGACGGUAGUCGGAGAAGAAGCCCCGGCUAACUUCGUGCCAGCAGCCGCGGUAAUACGAAGGGGGCUAGCGUUGUUCGGAAUUACUGGGCGUAAAGCACACGUAGGCGGAUAUUUAAGUCAGGGGUGAAAUCCCAGAGCUCAACUCUGGAACUGCCUUUGAUACUGGGUAUCUCGAGUAUGGAAGAGGUGAGUGGAAUUCCGAGUGUAGAGGUGAAAUUCGUAGAUAUUCGGAGGAACACCAGUGGCGAAGGCGGCUCACUGGUCCAUUACUGACGCUGAGGUGCGAAAGCGUGGGGAGCAAACAGGAUUAGAAACCCCUGUAGUCC
rnacentral:rRNA from 1 species